rnacentral:rRNA from 1 species
ACUCCUACGGGAGGCAGCAGUGGGGAAUAUUGCACAAUGGGGGAAACCCUGAUGCAGCCAUGCCGCGUGUGUGAAGAAGGCCUUCGGUUGUAAAGCACUUUCAGUAGGGAGGAAGGUAGUGUAGUUAACACCUGCACUAUUUGACGUUACCUACAGAAGAAGCACCGGCUAACUCCGUGCCAGCAGCCGCGGUAAUACGGAGGGGUGCGAGCGUUAAUCGGAAUUACUGGGCGUAAAGCGCAUGCAGGCGGCCUGUUAAGUCAGAUGUGAAAGCCCGGGGGCUUAACCUCGGAAUUGCAUUUGAAACUGGCAGGCUAGAGUCUUGUAGAGGGGGUAGAAUUUCAGGUGUAGCGGUGAAAUGCGUAGAGAUCUGAAGGAAUACCAGUGGCGAAGGCGGCCCCCUGGACAAAGACUGACGCUCAGAUGCGAAAGCGUGGGGAGCAAACAGGAUUAGAUACCCUGGUAGGAUAGCG